UGGGCGAUGCUUAUUAGUUGCAAUUUGCCUGCUGUGGCCAAAGUUUGCUCGCCAAAAACCAAACCAAAACCGAAAAACCCAAACCAAAUAAAUUAAAUAAUUGCUGGCCGAAGAAGUUGAUAGGAUGGGAAAAAAUAAGGGCGGCGGCGGCGGUGGUGGUGGAGGAGGAGGUGGAGGCGGCGGCAAUGUAAGCAAUAUUUGUGUUAUGCAACAUGCGUAUUAAUUAAAAAAGGCGGCGGCGCUGGCGGUGGUAGUGCAGGAGGAGCCGCAGCAGCCGCUGGAGCUGCUGGAAAUAAAAACAAAGGCGGUGGGGCUGGCGGUGACAAAGGUGGAGCCAAGAAAGGAGCAGACCAAAAGCCACCCCCAGGCGCUGGCAAGAAAGGAGGCAAGAAAUAGCAGUAGCCCCAAUGCCAAUGUGGCAACAUCAAAGCGCAUUAUAAAAUACAAAUUUAGAAUUAAGUUGAAAUUAAAAGGAUAUCAGGGAAUAUACUAUAUAUGUACAUAUGUAUCUAUAAUGUAUGUAUGUAUAAAUCGCUCUUACAACUAGCAGAA
rnacentral:misc_RNA from 1 species